rnacentral:rRNA from 1 species
UGCGCAGGCGGCUUAUUAAGUCAGUGGUGAAAUCUCUCGGCUCAACCGAGAAACUGCCAUUGAAACUGAUAGUCUUGAGUAUGGUUGUGGUAGGCGGAAUAUAGCAUGUAGCGGUGAAAUGCUUAGAUAUGCUAUAGAACACCGAUCGCGAAGGCAGCUUACCAAGCCAUUACUGACGCUCAUGCACGAAAGCGUGGGGAGCAAACAGGAUUAGAUACCCUGGUAGUCC